GUCGUUAUGUCGCCCCCACGUUUCCCGCUCAGUAUCACCUGUUUCUCCUUACUGUAAAAUUUCAUAAUUAGUUGCAUAAAAUUCCAAGAAAUAUCACAUAAUGUCGUCAACCAUUUAAUUAUGAACAUGGCCUUAUGAUCAUCAGGAGGGAGAAGGAAGAAAUAUGCAAUUAUCUCUUGGUCCUACAGCAAUAGUUUCUCCUGCGGGCGCCUACGAUCACAAUUCAAAAUCCGUCCGUCGACGACCUUAACGUCAAACCUGCUGCAAUUCUCAAUAGGUAAGGCCAUCUGGAUAGUAACCUUACUGUUU
rnacentral:lncRNA from 1 species